GACGAACGCUGGCGGCGUGCUUAACACAUGCAAGUCGAACGCUGAAGCCCUUUCGGGGGUGGAUGAGUGGCGAACGGGUGAGUAACACGUGGGUAAUCUGCCCUGCACUCUGGGAUAAGCCUUGGAAACGGGGUCUAAUACCGGAUAGGACACAUCGCCGCAUGGUGUGUGUGUGGAAAGUUCCGGCGGUGCAGGUUGAGCCCGCGGCCUAUCAGCUUGUUAGUGGGGUGAUGGCCUACCAAGGCGACGACGGGUAGCCGGCCUGAGAGGGUGACCGGCCACCCUGGGACUGAGACACGGCCCAGACUCCUACGGGAGGCAGCAGUGGGGAAUCUUGCGCAAUGGGCGAAAGCCUGACGCAGCAACGCCGCGUGGGGGAUGACGGCCUUCGGGUUGUAAACCUCUUUCGACCGGGACGAAGGGUGACUGACGGUACCGGUAGAAGAAGCACCGGCUAACUACGUGCCAGCCGCCGCCGUAA
rnacentral:rRNA from 1 species